GAAGACUGCCCUAUGGGUUGUAAACUGCUUUUAUAUGGGAAGAAUAAGAUCUACGUGUAGAUCGAUGACGGUACCAUAAGAAUAAGCACCGGCUAACUCCGUGCCAGCAGCCGCGGUAAUACGGAGGGUGCAAGCGUUAUCCGGAAUCAUUGGGUUUAAAGGGUCCGUAGGCGGGCAUAUAAGUCAGUGGUGAAAGUCUGUGGCUCAACCAUAGAACUGCCAUUGAUACUGUAUGUCUUGAAUUAUUGUGAAGUGGUUAGAAUAUGUAGUGUAGCGGUGAAAUGCUUAGAUAUUACAUAGAAUACCGAUUGCGAAGGCAGAUCACUAACAAUAUAUUGACGCUGAUGGACGAAAGCGUAGGUAGCGAACAGGAUUAGAUACCCUGGUAGUCUACGCCGUAAACGAUGGAUACUAGCUGUUUGGACUUCGGUCUGAGUGGCUAAGCGAAAGUGAUAAGUAUCCCACCUGGGGAGUACGUUCGCAAGAAUGAA
rnacentral:rRNA from 1 species